rnacentral:tRNA from 1 species
GGGUCGAUGCCCGAGUGGUUUAUGGGGGCGGAUUGUAAAUCCGCUGAUGAAAGUCAACGCUGGUUCAAAUCCAGCUACGGACCCA